rnacentral:rRNA from 1 species
GGUGCUGCAGUAAACCAUCGUGUGGCAGUUCUCCCUGGGGACGGGAAAGGUACAGGGAAGGGGCCCUCGCUAAGGGACUAGAGUAGUUCAGCCCGUCCUUUAGGAGCUCUUCGCUGCUGCGGCUGAGUUAGGAGGGCUCGAACACGGAGGCAACCGGUGGGCGCGGAGAUCGGUUCUCGAAGAGGGGGGCGGCUGCUGCAGUGGGCGAGAGAGGACGGUUCUAGGAGACGGGCCACUACCGCUACCGGGUCUCCAGUCAAAGAUGAAGGCCGCUCUAGCUGAUGGGGAGCGCCGAGUAUAGAGGAGUCUGCUUGUCGUUACCCGAUCGCCAGUGGAAGGGGCAGGAGGCUCGGUCGAUUAGUCUGAACCUGGAGAGGGUGGUAACAGUUUAAUUACCACUCGUGUUAGAGAAGGAAAGCGAAGAGGGGGGAUCUAGACGUGUCACAAAACUAACCAGUUAACCGAGAACACUAACUAACACUCCAGACUACGAUAUAAAACCUAUAAAGUUCCUGGUAAAAAGAACAAACCUGAGAACAAUGAUGUCUCGUUUCGUAACGGAUUACACACCGUCAAACAGAUAACUUCAAUCUAAUAACCGACGUAUGUAAUCUUAAAUCCACGUUAAGACUUCUUACACCGUUUACGUCACCUAAAAGACGUAAUUUAAUGACCACUCAGAACACUUGAAACCAAAUCCGUUCAAUUAACGAAAACACAUCUGUCCGUUUAUGACUUGCAAAAAGAAACAAUCUAGGAAUACCGUCAUGUAUGAUGUUAACAAAUAAAAAUACGAAAAAAGCAUCAAUAUUUAAAAGAUAAAAAUCAAAACCAUAGGAGACGUUAAUUUAAGUGGUACCGUAUGAAAAAUCUGUCGUACACGUCAAUGUACGGUAAUGCGUAGUAUGUGAAACGUAUCGAGUUGUGAGAAGAACAUAGAUACCUAUAGGACUAGAUAACUACAGUUCAAACAAAGUGUGUACUGUUUCCUGUGUUGUGGUUUAUUUAGUUCUUUAUAAGUAGUUAUGGUGACUGAGUACAGAAUCUGAAAUAAACAAGUUCCUCCUUUAAAGACGCUACCUCUCUUGUAUUCCACACAUCUGUCAAGCAGAAUAUAAAAGAACAAGACGUGAUGUAGGUAGAAUAGAAAUAAAUAAAACGCGGUAAUAACUGGACUCAAAAUAGACUUGGACUCAAUAUAGGUAGACUGACAAACAUCUAGGUGCUUGGAAACAAAGGUUUGAGACGGAUAAGAAAGUAAACGUUAUUGUACUCAAUAAGACUUAACUAGUAAACUACAAUGGGAUCGUCACGGAGGUAUCUUUUAAUUUAGAUCAACUACAAUAGGAAACUAGUUGAAGACGUUUGUAUUCCUCGAUCAACCAGAGCGAGGUUAUUAUGUACCUAAUGGUAAACCAGAUACACAAAUCUACUCCCAGUGAUAUAUGUAGACGUCUAAUCGUAAAUAGUAAGUCUAAAAGUUAAAUGUAAACGUUCCAUACACUAAACUAAAUAGACCUCCAUUCAACACGAAAGACAGCCAACGUUAAUGAUAUACGAGGUUCGACACCGUUGUUAUGAAGUCUUAAUAAAAAGAUUAGUAAGGCGGUCUCAUCAUAAAAUAAUAAUAUACUAACGUCCUCAACAUAUACCUACAUGACCCCCGUGGUUCUUCUUUCCCAUCAUAUACCUACAUGAUCCCGGGGGGUUUUCUUCUUUUUGACCCCCGUGCUAUUUAAAUAGGAUCUGUGAUACUCCAAAAGACCCUGAGCUGAGCACAUUGACAACUCCCCCCGAUGUGAAGACUCUGCUCCGAUGUUGUGUUAAAAACAACCUCAGCCGAUGUAAGAAUGUGGAGAUCGAGUGCUUCCAGCAUCAGGGUUAAACCUAGCGGUGAGUCGUGCUCACCUCACUGUGAACUAAAGAACAAGACAUAAUCUCAUGGAUUCUUUACAACGGAGAAAUACAAUACACUGUAGAAAUCAAGACUGAUAUAAGAGUACUCACAGGCUUCUACUAUCACAUUUACUUACUAAUAAAUAUGUAAACGUUUAAGGAACUAAAAGACACUAAAGAUCUUAAUAUACAUUACAUAACUUAUAUAAACACAAAAAAACAUUAAUAAGUACCAUAAAAAGACU